GAUUGGCGAACCAUCCAAUACCAAUGUCCCAGUACCCGACGGAGACAUUACACCAGUGGACACACCCAUUAAAAUUGCUGUCGGUGGAAGAGCCGUAAG